GCGACAAUUUUAUCUCCAUGGUAGAUAUGUCAUCGAUAACAUAGUCGAGUCUAACGGAUAGUGUUCCGUUCCGAUGUAAUUCCCUUUAACAUUGAGUUCAAGGAUAACAAAAUAACAGCGAUACGUCGGUUCGAAAAAUUAUAGCUAGUGUUAUGGAACGGUAUAUGUAACCGGGUGAACGUGCUCUCGAUGCUUCAUCACCGAGUGAAGAAACCUUUGAAUGGGCAUAUUCACGUUGACAUAUUGCGACGUCAAUCACAUAAUUGUGACCGAUCAUAACUUUUAUUUCGUUCAAGAUGAAAAGUUGCGAGGAAAGGAUGCAUAUACCAGCUAUACAUUUUUCCCACCUGUCUGGCAAUUGGUGGAUGCCACGCCGAAAAAACUGUCGCU